UACGGGGGGGGCAAGCGUUGUUCGGAAUUACUGGGCGUAAAGGGCUCGUAGGUGGCCAACUAAGUCAGACGUGAAAUCCCUCGGCUUAACCGGGGAACUGCGUCUGAUACUGGAUGGCUUGAGUUUGGGAGAGGGAUGCGGAAUUCCAGGUGUAGCGGUGAAAUGCGUAGAUAUCUGGAGGAACACCGGUGGUGUAGACGGCUCUCUGGACCGCAACUGACGCUGAGACACGAAAGCGUGGGUAGCAAACAGG
rnacentral:rRNA from 1 species